rnacentral:lncRNA from 1 species
CUGGUUGAAAACAGAUAGCAACUAUGAUAGCAAGAAAUUGAUCUUCUUCAGGGGCAUGAGUACGGAUAUUAUUAUUAUUAUUAUUAUUAUUAUUAUUAUUAUUAUUAUUAUUAUUAUUAUUUAUUUAUUUAUUUUAAUUUGGAAAAUCUCUCUUAUUUAUUGGGUUUCUUGGAUAAUCCUGUAUCUCAGAUCUCUAUUAUUGGAUUGUUUCUUAGUUGUGGUGAAGUACCUGAAGAGUGAUGUUUCAUGAUUUUUUCCAUCCCUUGGAAUCUGUUUUCUUAAACUUGCUAUCUUUACACAUUUAACGUUUGUGCAUAUGUUCUUUCUGUUAGUUAUUGUGCCUCUAGGUGACUGGGUCUACUGCUUCUGGUAUGCAUAUUAGUAAUUUCAGUUCAAUUGUGCCUUUAGACGUUAGUCUUUGAGGAUUGAGAAGCUCGUUGUAUCUGCCAUUCCCAGUGUAGUGGAAACAGGGACAAAGGGUUUGGCUUCGAACCCCUGGAAGACGAUGAGAGACAAAGUUUGAGCAAAAUUAACCUCAUGGUGUUUCCCGGAUCCAUAUGGCUGAAAAAGCCUUUGUAUCAGAAUACCAUGGAAUAAGAAAAUGGCGAGGAUUUUGUUUCAGAGAUUUUUUUUCAGCCUUGUUGAAAUGUUUGGCUGUGUUUUAAGGGGGG